GCACUAGGUCACGAAGCUGUCAAGGCUCUUUGAGAGAGAGAGAGAGAGAGAGGGGCCAAGUACAGUUUAGGUGGGAAUAGCCAUGGUGGUAAUAGUAUCCAAGAGAAUGGGCUUGAUGAUGCUUGUGGCGACACUCAUACUGUGCUCGUCCAUUGGUGCCGACGCCGACGCGCACAUACUUGUGUCGCGCAAGUGGAGAUGUGUAAUGUUAUGUGCCUUGACACCUCCUAUAAUUCCAUGCGUUCUCAAAUGCCUCAUCUAUCCUCCCACACAGUCCUUGACGUCCGCGGCAUCGCAACAUUGCGAUGUCGGUUGUUUCUUGUCUACUUGCCUUGACAAUCAUCAAGACUCCGAGAAAGUUGGAAUGGACGUGAACAAGGCUGGAGCUUGUGCAGAUUCGUGCUCCCGGAGUUGCCAAAAGACCUAUCCAUUGCACUAAAGUCAUUGAACUUUUGUAAUGCCUUUGUGGUUUCAUUGCUCAACAAAUAAAAACAGCCCUUUUAAUA